UUAGUUACUUUCUAACUUGCUCUUGUUAAUCUACAUUAUCUCAAAUUACUAAAGUGUUGAAAGUAUUGAUCCUUGGAUCUGAAAAUAGAUUUUAAAGAAUUAAGUUCUGGUAUCGAAAGAAUCGAUAUUUCAGUAUCAAUCCGCACAUCACUAACGGCAACGUCAGAGAUCAUUUAACUGCCCUCAUUAACGGUUAAUUCAGUUGUAACAGCCUAACUAAGCUUUUAUCUACUGUACUUUUAUAAGAUUUUCUUUUGGCAAAUUUUCUAAUCUCGGUUGGACAUGGAUGAAGAUGGAGGACUUUUUUACGUGUAUAGACCCUACAGCUGCUGUACUCGGAGUAAACCAAACUGUUGCCAUGGUGAAGCCUAUGCCAGACACAUGUCAAUCACGUAUUGCACCAUCUACAAGAAACUUUGGGAAUUGCAAGUGACGGCGUCCUUCACAUUCUUGAGCAGAUGACCCAACAACUUCAAACAAGACCACUUUUCAGCUCUGUGGUGAUCAUGAAACCAACUUUCUACUGGCCAUUGGAACCAUGCCUGCCUGCCCUGAUCUUCUGAAAGGAGGACAUCAUAGCUACUACACCUUUCAGCAUCCGUGUGUGGGGCCACUCCUCUCUGUGCUGCUGACAGACGUCUUGAGAACAGCGUCUGUAACUGAGGCAAGACUUCCACAUAUAAAAGGCUAUGGCUGAUAGGAAGAAGUUCAUUGCRGAGGAAGCUCCUAUUGUUGACAUCUAAUCCCAAGAUUUUUUUUUGCUUUGGACAAUUUGGUUUGCUUGACUCUUAGUGCAUCUUAUGAGUGCGGCAGAUGUGUCAGAUCUUCAUUGUUC